rnacentral:rRNA from 1 species
AUGAACGCUGGCGGCGUGCUUAACACAUGCAAGUCGAACGGAAAGGCCCAAGCUUGCUUGGGUACUCGAGUGGCGAACGGGUGAGUAACACGUGGGUGAUCUGCCCUGCACUUCGGGAUAAGCCUGGGAAACUGGGUCUAAUACCGGAUAGGACGAUGGUUUGGAUGCCAUUGUGGAAAGUUUUUUCGGUGUGGGAUGAGCUCGCGGCCUAUCAGCUUGUUGGUGGGGUAAUGGCCUACCAAGGCGUCGACGGGUAGCCGGCCUGAGAGGGUGUACGGCCACAUUGGGACUGAGAUACGGCCCAGACUCCUACGGGAGGCACCAGUGGGGAAUAUUGCACAAUGGGCGCAAGCCUGAUGCAGCGACGCCGCGUGGGGGAUGACGGCCUUCGGGUUGUAAACUCCUUUCGCUAGGGACGAAGCGUUUUUGUGACGGUACCUGGAGAAGAAGCACCGGCUAACUACGUG